rnacentral:lncRNA from 1 species
GGCCCAUACCAAAUAAAUCUCGAACCAUCGAGUCAUUAAGAAAGAAAGUUGAUCCGACGAAAUCUCCCAAAAUCUCAAAUGAUUCCUUUCGAUCCCGAGCAUAUAAGCUAAAAUCAUGUAUCUAAUGCCCAUAGAUGGUGCCUCUAACCAAUAAACAUGCAAUUUCUAGGUUAGUGGGUACAGAUUCUCUAUUUUUAUUAUCUAAUUUGAAGGUAACGC